rnacentral:rRNA from 1 species
UACGGGAGGCAGCAGUGGGGAAUUUUCCGCAAUGGGCGAAAGCCUGACGGAGCAAUACCGCGUGAGGGAGGAAGGCUCUUGGGUUGUAAACCUCUUUUCUCAGGGAAGAACACAAUGACGGUACCUGAGGAAUCAGCAUCGGCUAACUCCGUGCCAGCAGCCGCGGUAAUACGGAGGAUGCAAGCGUUAUCCGGAAUGAUUGGGCGUAAAGCGUCCGCAGGUGGCUUAUCAAGUCGAUUGUCAAAUGUCCUGGCUCAACUGGGAAGAGGCAGUGGAAACUGAAAAGCUAGAGUGCGGUAGGGGUAGAGGGAAUUCCCGGUGUAGCGGUGAAAUGCGUAGAGAUCGGGAAGAACACCAGUGGCGAAAGCGCUCUACUAGGCCUGCACUGACACUCAUGGACGAAAGCUAGGGGAGCGAAUGGGAUUAGAUACCCCAGUAGUCCUAGCUGUAAACGAUGGAUACUAGGCGUUGAGAGUAUCGACCCUCUCAGUGCCGUAGCUAACGCGUUAAGUAUCCCGCCUGGGGAGUACGCACGCAAGUGUGAAACUCAAAAAAAUUGACGG